CAGGUGCUGCAUGGCUGUCGUCAGCUCGUGUCGUGAGAUGUUGGGUUAAGUCCCGCAACGAGCGCAACCCUUGUCAUUAGUUGCUACGCAAGAGCACUCUAAUGAGACUGCCGGUGACAAACCGGAGGAAGGUGGGGAUGACGUCAGGUCAUCAUGGCCCUUAUGGGUAGGGCUACACACGUCAUACAAUGGCCGGGACAGAGGGCUGCCAACCCGCGAGGGGGAGCUAAUCCCAGAAACCCGGUCGUAGUCCGGAUCGCAGUCUGCAACUCGACUGCGUGAAGUCGGAAUCGCUAGUAAUCGCAAAUCAGAAUGUCGCGGUGAAUACGUUCCCGGGCCUUGUACACACCGCCCGUCACACCAUGGGAGCGGGUUUUACCAGAAGUAGGUAGCUUAACCGCAAGGAGGGCGCUUACCACGGUAUGAUUCGUGACUGGGGUGAAGUCGUAACAAGGUAGCCG
rnacentral:rRNA from 13 species